AUUGAACGCUGGCGGCAGGCCUCACACAUGCAAGUCGAGCGAGAGGCGGACGGGUGAGUAAUGUAUGGGGAUCUGCCCGAUAGAGGGGGAUAACUACUGGAAAAGGUGGCUAAUACCGCAUACUAUCGGCUGAACCCAUAUGGGAUUAGCUGGUAGGUGGGGUAAAGGUUCACCUAGGCGACGAUCUCUAGCUGGUCUGAGAGGAUGACCAGCCACACUGGAACUGAGACACGGCCCAGACUCCUACGGGAGGCAGCAGUGGGGAAUAUUGCACAAGGGGCGCAAGCCUGAUGCAGCCAUGCCGCGUGUAUGAAGAAGGCCUUAGGGUUGUAAAGUACUUUCAGCGGGGAGGCGUUACCCGCAGAAGAAGCACCGGCUAACUCCGUGCCAGCAGCCGCGGUAAUUC
rnacentral:rRNA from 1 species